GUCUUCCUAAUUACAUCCACAGGAAUUUCAGCAUGAAGCCGUGCUGCAGUCCCGGUUGUGUCGCUUUCCUGCUCGCCGUUUGGCUGCUGUUGAUUCCGGCUUUCUUGGUUAUUUUCCUUCCGAAUAAGUUAUUGCUGCUGCAGGGAAGGUGUCCCAUUGCUCAGGGCUAGAGCGGAGGGGAGCGAAGGGGAAGUUUCUUGGGAAGCACUCCCAUCGCGCUCGGAAAGAAAGUGGCUCAGUGUCCUCCUAAUGCAUUUCAUUUCCCCUCUGCCCUCUCCCCCUGCUAGGACUCACCAGAUCUUGGGAGUUUCUUGCUGCAUUAAUUUACUAAACUAAAAAAAAAAAAAAAAAAAGGGGGGGGGGGUGGAGAAGAGGGAGAGCAGAGGGGAGGGGGUAACUCAGCCUCUCCACCAUCCCAAGGCCCUCCUCUUAGCAGUGCUCAUUGGUCUCAGGGCUGAAAAAAAUACUCUAGGACGUGGUUGGAUAAACGCAUAUUGUUCAGCAGAGGCUGUUAACCUUUAAAGCGCUGAUACGUUUUGUUUUAUUUCAGCUUUUUUAACUCAAAUCGCUGUCUUUUUAAGAACACUCUGAAAUCGUCUCCCUUGACAUGGCAAGUGUAACGUGCCUUAAGUCUCCAUCUCGUGGAAGAUCUGCUUGACUAGCAUUUGCUAUGUGUUGCUGUUGGCUUUUAAGAAGCAUCUGUGUGUUGUUUCUCUCUUUUAUUUUUUCCUCUUUUUCUUUCUCUCUAUUUUUGCUUUUCUUUUUUCUUUUUCACCCAUUUUGCAAAGAGGUUUGGCAAACACCAGAGCCACCAAGGCUGGGGCAGGCUCUCCAUCAUUCCACUUAUACUGAUACUGUUGACCUGAGUUUCUUCUGUGCUUGUCUCCGCUCUACCAAAGUGCAGAAUUUUACCUGUCUCCAAUCACAGCCCUAUGACCCUUCCCUGGUCUGUGGGAUGCUGCCUCCAGUGCUGUCUGGUACAUCUGAAUAACAUGCUGGGAUGUUCGGUGGUGCUCCUGCCAGCAGCCGGUACAUCAGCUGCUCUGUCUUCACUGUGAAUUGAAGGGACAGGACACUCGAAGAGGAGCGACAGGCUUUCAGCCAGCACAGAUCCUCAGAGAAAUCAGUUGUUAUACAACUGGCCUCAGAAAGGCACCUAUCUGGGGUGAUCUGAGAGAUAGAGGUAACAGUGUGAAGGAUACAAUGGAAGGAGAAAUGGUCAAACUUGUGCACAAAGUCUGUGCAUUGUUUAUGAAACUUCCAGGCAUGCAGGACCUUACUUUGGUUAACACCUGCAGUUUUCCAAACGUUUGCCCCAAAACUCCAUCAGAUAGUGAGCUGCCAUCCAUUUACCUAAACAAAGCAUGCCAUCAGGGAUAGAAAGCUGAGUAGGUUUGCCCCUAUGUUUGCUAGAAAGCUUUGCCAUUAGGUUGCCGGAAAUAUCCAAACCUCUCCCGAAUGCCCCCCUGGCUUAGUGAGCCCAUGCUGAGGUUUACGGUAACUCCUGCAGAGCCCGUGGGAUUUGCAACAGGUUUGGCAGAAGAGGGUCUGCUGCUGAGUGAAAAGUGCUCCCCAAAUGCUUCCUGAUACUGUGAGGAUUAGUAACGAGCUUGUGAAGCUUGUUCUGCUGUAAGCUGCAUGCCAAAGGGAGGCUUUGUUUUCCUCAGUCUUUUUCAAUAAUUUCCCCCCUCUCUUUCUGUUUCUGCAUUUUUUUUUUUUUUUUCUCCUGGUUGUUGUCCCUCAGGGGAAAUGUCCUUAUGAGCCAGAACAAAAGACGGGAUGGAUUAUGAAUUUUUGUUAUUAGGAUCAUAAAGCCUUUUUCUCUUAUAAUUUCCCUCUCUCUUCCCUCAUGUUUUCAUGUUCAUCAUUUCCCUGCAUGAGCCUUCAUCACUGAGAACCACUGGGGUUUUACAUCUUUUUCUCCUUUCAUUCCAUGCAAAAUCCUAUUCAGAGUUAUUCAGUGCCUGCCCGGAGGUGAAGGAACACGGGGUGAGUUUGAGGAAACCCUUUCAUCUCCCAGUGAAAAUCCCCAAAUUAGAUUUUUACUCAUGGUUGCAUCCCAGGGGAUUACGGUACAAUAAUGUGGUGGUAGUGAUUUUGUUCAAGGAGGCAGCACUUUAGAUUUGCCAGGGAGUUUUGAUGUCUGAAUAAGCCAGCAGAAAGCUGGUAUCAGAGCUGCUGGAGUAUUUCCAGCUCCAGCUGCCAGGAAAGGGAUGAGACUCGAAACAUGAUUUCACUGGAGGCUCAAUCCUGCAGGUCCCACAAGGUGCUGGCACUCCGGUCCUGAUUUAGUAAAACACACUCAGGUUGGUAGUCCCAGGUGACCGCUCAAAAUGGUUAAAAACAAGCACGUGCUUAAGUGAACUGAUGGAUGGGGAGCCAGAGAACUCUGUACCUUACAGACGUCAACACUUCCAGUUUAGAAAAUACUGCAGUGGGGAAGAUGCUUUGGUUGGCAGGGCAAGGAUGUUUAGGAGAGGAAGAAAUUGUUUCUGUGAUUUCAGUGAGAGAUUCUGGCUAGUAUUUUGCAGGAGCCUGGAUCUGUGUUUUCCUGUAGGUCAAAGCAUUCAAUCACAAUUUAUCCAUGAACAACCACGUCACUCUUAUGACUAUUUGUGCUUCAAGUGGUUCACAAACUGUUUACUCUUUUUGUAUUAGAGUCUGUCUCCCUGUAUACUUAGUACUGAAAAUAUUAGGCUGCGCCCCCGUUCACUCAGGUCAUGCAGUGCUGCUUCUGUUCCCUAACUGAAUGCAUGCAACUCAAAAUAAAAUUUCUCUUGCAAAUGAUUGCCUUGUGACAAGUUCAGAAAGUGCUGUCUGGAAGCCUUCUUUGCUUUCUAUAUGAAAAAUAUCUGUCCUAAGAACAUGCCCACCUCCAAGUUUCUUGACUUAGAGUACCCUUAAAUAUGACUGGACACGAAGAAGACUUAAAUGGCUUCGUGUAAAAAAAUAAAAUAAAAUAAAAAGAGAAUAUAAAGAAAUGACCUUUUGUGCC
ensembl:lncRNA